rnacentral:misc_RNA from 1 species
CUCCUCCCCUCGCCCUCUAUCUCUCGGCGUGCGUGUUGAUGUGAAACGACUUGCACAAGAGCAUCCUCAUUUCCCAUCCUUGUUUCGUCGUUCGGUUUCCUUCGCCUUUGUUUUUCUUCUGCGCUAUUGUCUGCCGUUCGCUGAUUGCUCUUUCUCUUCGUACUCCAAAUGGUGCCUAGCUGUGGUCGACUCCGCCGAUCCACUCUCUUUCUGUCGUAACUGUGGUUGACGUGUUUUUUUUUUUCGUUCAUCUUGACCACUUUUCUCUUUGCCGCACAGAAAAGGGGAGACAGAGACAUCGUCGUCGGCACCCAUUCAGAGAGAGAGAGAUUAAUCGCACGUCGCCUCUGCUUGUCACACGCUCCCUUUAUCCAUUCUCCUGCGCCACAUUCGCUGACCCAAACCCCCUACACGCACACAUACAUACACGGUUGUGAGGAGCAGAAUUCGUCAGCUCCCUUUCCCCACGAUAAGAAUAGCAACAGGGAGUCUUUUGAUCAUUUUUUUUUGGCACUGCACUCACUUGAGAGGGCGAAAAGAACCCAGAAACAACUGCGGGUGUCUGUGGUGUUUCUUUUGAGCGUGUGCGUGUGUGUGUCUCGAAGUCGAAUCUAACCCAUAACUUUCAUCAAAAAGAGAAGAACCGGCACCAAUCCAACCUAAAGGAUUGCAUCAGCAUUUGCCAUGAACCAUACUCGCUCUGUGAUGGAGGCGGUUCUCGCCGUCAUCACGUAUAGCUUCUGCAGCGUGAGCAUGAUUCUCGUGAACAAGCUAAUCAUGAACACGUACGACAUGAACUUCCCAUUCGGAAUCUUGGUGCUGCAGACAGGUGGUGCACUAGUGAUUGUGGCGCUGGCGAAGGCAGCUCGCUUCAUUGAGUACCCGGCCUUUUCAUUCGACGUGGCGAAAAAGUGGCUUCCUCUUACUCUGCUCUUUGUGGCAAUGCUGUUCACAUCCAUGAAGAGCUUGGGCACGAUGUCCGUCGCGGCUCAGACGAUUCUCAAGAAUCUGGCCGUUGUCUUGAUCGCACUCGGCGACAAAUUCCUCUACGGCAAGGCGCAAACCCCGAUGGUCUACUUUUCUUUUGCGUUGAUGAUCCUCGGCAGCUUGCUUGGCGCCAAGGGCGAUAAGUGGGUAACAGCGUGGGGUCUGGUCUGGACGUUUCUUAACAUUGUCUCCACCGUCUCGUACACGCUGUACAUGAAGGCUGUCCUUGGCUCUGUCAGUAACUCGAUCGGCCGCUACGGUCCUGUCUUCUACAACAACUUGCUGUCCCUGCCCUUUUUCCUGAUAAUGGGUGUCGGUGACAUCAUGCCGUUCUCGGCAGCAAUCGGUGACACAACCACGUUUGGCAAGCUGGUGCUAACGUUCUCGGUGCUGGUGAGCUCCGUGAUGACGUUCUCCGUCUUUUGGUGCAUGUCUAUAACCUCGCCCACCACAAUGAGCGUCGUAGGCUCACUGAACAAGAUACCCCUCACCUUUCUGGGCAUGCUUGUGUUCCACCAGUUUCCCACUGCAACGGGUUAUCUGGGCAUCAUGAUCGCGCUAUCCGCAGGCUUCCUAUACACGCACCUCAACAUCAGGGCGAACCGCGCCAAGGCUUCUUCCGAUACGGAGCACCAGAUGCAGCAGGCCGGCAAGACGACAGCGGAGUCGAUCGUGCUGGUGCGCGCGGACGAGAACAGCAAUGACACCUCCAAAUCUGAGUAGUCACUGCUGUUAGCAGCAGUCGUAGAAGGAGCAAAAGGCGGUUUAAAACACGCUUCGGGGACGGCGCGCCAACGUCCUUGAGGUGGACAGGAACGUCUCUGGUGGCGGAAAGUCUCUAGUAAAACGCGACAAAGGUCGCGAGAGGUGUGCCGAUUUUCACAACAGGGUGAUCUCGAGCGCGGUAGGGCCUAUUCGUUUCACAGUGCUGUGCGCCCGGUUUUUCGCUUUCUCAGCUCAUUGUUCACGUUAACCUCCUUUUCUAUUCGGUUACGUUUGGCUCCCUCUUUAUGUCGAGUAGGUGAGCAAACAGCAACACCAGUAAAGUGGGAGUCACAACAGGCACUGGCACGUGCGCCUCUGGCCGCCUACUCCCUUAUCCUCUUUUUUCUUCUUCCUUAUUCAUCCAUUGCCCCCAUCCAGUGACCAACCUGGAGAGCUCCUUGUAUCCCUGUCAGUGUCGAACUGCUUCUCGCGCUGACAAGGGUCAGGCACCUGUGAUGUGGAGAGGUCAUUGCAAUGUAUUGCUUAUGAUGCCGGCGGUCAUGUCCUGCGUGGCGUUGCGUGGGAGACGCCUGCGACAGUGAAGCUGCUUGUGUCACCUAUGUCAUGGGUGAAGUUCCAACGUGACUCAAAAGUAUCUCACUCAACGCUCACUGCCCACUAGGGAUGAGCAGCCUGAGCUGCUCCGAGGGGGCAGCGGGAUGCACGGCGUCGCAAUCGGCCUGACUCGAACGACUGCGAGAAAAGUGGCUGGCUAGAGCUUGAGGCAGGGUCCCUGCAUGGAUGGCUGAGUCGGCGCAUCGCCAUGCGCGUGUCUACAGCUGCAUCGCACCAUGCGAAGGGUCCUGAGGCAGGCCGGCGGGAGAGUGGAGUUUGGCACAUGUUCUAUCGCAGAAAAUG